GUUAUAACUGUACCAUAGUAUUAUUUGAAUAAAUGCUUGGUUACCUCUGACUCAUUGUCUUUGCAGGUAACACCAAUAAGGUUUAAAGGGUUUCGACAUACUGUAGAGGUCAAGCUAUUGUCUUACAUAAGUCUCUAUUCUGGGCUAUAGACACUAUUUUUAGCCCUUGUGGAAUGUGUUAUUGUGUUUGGAUUUGUCUUUCAAUGUUAACUCUGUGGCAUUCAAGCCGUAUCACUAAUGCGCUUUGACCAGAAGCAUACUUCACACAAGUAUGUGAACGGAGACAUGAGUGUUCGGUCGGUUCAUUAAAAAUGCUAAGCAUGCAACCAUACUAGUGUGACACAUCUGAGGACAGUUAAAGGGAUAGUUCACCUAAAUGCAAACACUUCAUCAUUAUUUACUCAUCCUCAUGCCGUUUGAUCCCGAAAGUCUCUCUUUGUUUUUCAGAACCCAAACACAGUUGUUGUUUUGGGUUUUCUUGUUACUAUGGGAGUGGAUGGUGACGCCUCUUUAAGCUUCAAAAGGACCCAAAAGUGCCAGGACGCAUACAUUAUGUAUCACAAGUCAAUUGGAGUUAUAAAUGUAACACUUCUGGGUCCUUUUAAAGCCUUUAAAGGUUUUGAAAACCCAAAACAUUUCUUUCUCAAAAAAUCUGUGUUUGGGUUUGUAAAGAACCAAGAAAAACAUUUUGGGUUUAAACAACAUGAGGGUGAGUAAAUAAAGGUAUACUAUCCCUUUAACGUGUCCUGUGCUUUGUUGUGAAAUCUCUUGAAGCACGUCAGUCACAGAAAGAUUAAGUAAGCAUGGAGGAAAAGUACACAACACCACAAAAAUGUGUUUAGUGCCAUUCGUUUGGAAAUGUUAUACUUUUAUCAGUAAAUAUUACCCAUAUAUUCCAAUUUAAUAGACUUAAAUUUUAUUUAUAAAAUUUUUAUACAAACCCAAAAACAGAGCUUAAUGUCACACAUCUGAGGAACUUCGGCACAGCUCUUAAAUAUUAUCUUAUUUGAAAGGGUCAUGAUUAACUCUUUCCCUGAAUCCGUAUUACCGCUAUUAUCCACCAGGUGGCUUAUAAAACCCUGGGAUAACAGCUGUAUGUCCAUGUAUGUUUUGAGGAUUGCUCUGAAUCUGAUCUUCAUCAAAAGUCCUUCACAAAAAUGGAAUUAUCUCAGCUUUUUGCUUACAAUUUGGUGUUUACAGUUUUACAUUAUACGGCACCUUUAACAGUGAUUUUGCAUGGGUAUUUAAACCACCAAAUAUUUACAUGUAAGAUAUCAGCAAAAACUUUUUGGGUAAAAAAUGUACUUUUCAUGAUAAGGUUGACAUUUACAUGUAAUUGCCCAUAGCCAAAUGUGCAUAUGAAUUACACUUGUGAAGAAUAUCAGUUAAUAUCAGCUUAAGUUUCAGGUUGUACGUAUGCACAAACCUAAUAUAUGACUUCUUUACUGUCAUGUGUAUUAUUUUUAGCACCAUGGACACUGUUGGCUUUCACUUAAAAACUUUGCAUAUCAAUUUGCGUCUAAAACAAGAUCCUUAUUUAGUUUUCAUGAUUAUUUUAGAAGCCGAUCUCUCACCCUUACAAUUAAUCGGCCUGUUUGUGUUACAUUUUUUAUAAUUAAUAUUAAAAUAUAUUAAAAUAAAAAAAGCAUUUAAAGUGUUAACAAAGCUCAACUGAGGAUGAAAUUACCUAACCAUGUUUGAAUUUAAUAUGUUUAAGAUGUAUGCAAAGAAUUUAACAUGUAUGCAAAGAAUUUAACAUGUAUGGUAAGAAUAUUUAACAUGUAUGUAAAGAAUUUAACAUGUAUGUAAAGAAUAUUUAACAUGUAAAGAAUUUAACUACAGUAAAUUAACUAACUAAAGUUGUUACUACUGUAGAUUAUGAAAUGAGAAAUGGGUACAUCCAUAGACAUCCUUGCGGUAUAAGUGAGUCUCUGAGGUAAUUUACAUUUACUGUUAUGAAUUUGACAGAAGAUUUUAUCCAAUGACUUAUAGUGCAUUCAAUGUAUGCAGGCACGUGCACAGAUAGGGCUCAACCUGUGCAGAACACAUGCCCUUUUUGUCCUUACACUCCGAAGUGCCCUUUUUUGGAGGUGUUUUAUUAUUUUUUUAAAUAUAUAAAUUAAUGCUAUUGUUAAACAUUUACGUCUAUCUGUGUGUUUUACAAAUAUAUUUAUCAAAUAAAAUUAUUAAAAACUAAAUAUUUUUGGAUCCGCUCAAACUGUCUGUCAAACCUCUUAACUCCGCCCCCUGAGUGCAGCGAGCUGAAGUUCACAGCAGUCAGAGGCAGCUGAACGUCUUACAACGAGCCGAAUUAUCCAUAGACGGGAUUGGUCGAGUGGGCAAUCAGGGGACACUAAGGGCUCCAAACUGCAGCAAGGGCGAGUAGCAUCUGCCUGCACAAGCGGAGGCUGCAGUUUCGGGACCGCAGUCAUAGGACCGCAGUUAUAGGACCCUAGGUUUUUAGUGACAACGCCACCUAGCGAACUAGAGGACCAACAAAGAUGGAUGACAAGCAGAGUUGAAGUGGAGGAAUUUAAUCGAAUCAUAGACAAACAAUUGAAAAAAAGAGGGGAGAGCAUCCAGUUGCUGCUGCAUACAUCACAAUGUGUGCUUUAAAUAUUUAAUAUUUAUAUUUAUCUAUCUCUCUCUAUCAUUAUUUUUUAUCUGCUCAGAUGUGCUUUAUUGACAUGAAUGUUUCAAGAACCUUUGAUCCUGUAAUGAACACUAUGCAAUACUAAUAUGAACAUUACUUGGUAUGAAGAUUGAUAUAAUUUUGUACCGUAUAUAAUGUGUGUGCUCUGUGGUGACUAAAAUCUUUAAAGUUUGAAAUCAAAAAUUAAAGAGUUGUUGAACAUGUUCAACUAAAUGUU